CAAUAGCGUAUAUUAAAGUUGUUGCGGUUAAAAAGCUCGUAGUUGGAUUUCUGUCGAGGAUGAUCGGUCCGCCCUCUGGGUGAGUAUCUGGUUCAUCCUGGACAUCUUCUUGGAGAACGUUACUGCACUUGACUGUGUGGUGCGGUAUCCAGGACUUUUACUUUGAGGAAAUUAGAGUGUUUCAAGCAGGCAUCCGCCUUGUAUACAUUAGCAUGGAAUAAUAAGAUAGGGCCCUGGCUCUGUUUUGUUGGUUUCUGGAGCCGAGGUAAUGAUUAAUAGGGAUUGUUGGGGGCAUUCGUAUUUAGCUGUCAGAGGUGAAAUUCUUGGAUUAGUUAAAGACGGACUACUGCGAAAGCAUUUGCCAAAUAUGUUUUCAUUGAUCAAGAACGAAAGUUAGGGGAUCGAAGACGAUCAGAUACCGU
rnacentral:rRNA from 1 species